rnacentral:rRNA from 1 species
GAUGAACGCUGGCGGCGUGCCUAAUACAUGCAAGUCGAGCGAACAGAUGAGGAGCUUGCUCCUCUGACGUUAGCGGCGGACGGGUGAGUAACACGUGGAUAACCUACCUAUAAGACUGGGAUAACUUCGGGAAACCGGAGCUAAUACCGGAUAAUAUAUUGAACCGCAUGGUUCAAUAGUGAAAGACGGUUUUGCUGUCACUUAUAGAUGGAUCCGCGCCGCAUUAGCUAGUUGGUAAGGUAACGGCUUACCAAGGCAACGAUGCGUAGCCGACCUGAGAGGGUGAACGGCCACCCUGGAACUGAGACACGGUCCAGACUCCUACGGGAGGCAGCAGUAGGGAAUCUUCCGCAAUGGGCGAAAGCCUGACGGAGCAACGCCGCGUGAGUGAUGAAGGUCUUCGGAUCGUAAAACUCUGUUAUUAGGGAAGAACAAAUGUGUAAGUAACUAUGCACGUCUUGACGGUACCUAAUCAGAAAGCCACGGCUAACUACGUG